CCUACGGGAGGCAGCAGUGGGGAAUCUUGCGCAAUGGGCGAAAGCCUGACGCAGCAACGCCGCGUGCGGGAAGAAGGCUUUCGGGCUGUAAACCGCUUUCAGUAGGAACGAAACUGACGGUACCUACAGAAGAAGGAGCGGCCAACUAUGUGCCAGCAGCCGCGGUGAUACAUAGGCUCCAAGCGUUGUCCGGAUUUAUUGGGCAUAAAGAGCUCGUAGGCGGUUGAGUAAGUCGGGUGUGAAAACUUUGGGCUUAACCCAAAGAUGCCACUCGAUACUGUUCGACUUGAGUUUGGUAGGGGAGUGGGGAAUUCCUUGUGUAGCGGUGAAAUGCGCAGAUAUAAGGAGGAACACCGGUGGCGAAGGCGCCACUCUGGGCCAAUACUGACGCUGAGGAGCGAAAGCGUGGGGAGCAAACAGGAUUAGAUACCCUGGUAGUCCACGCGGUAAACGGUGGUCACUAGGUGUGGGUCUCUAACCAAUGAGAUCCGCGCCGUCGCUAACGCAUUAAGUGACCCGCCUGGGGAGUACGGUCGCAAGACUAAAACUCAAAGGAAUUGACGG
rnacentral:rRNA from 1 species